rnacentral:rRNA from 1 species
CCUACGGGUGGCAGCAGUGAGGAAUAUUGGUCAAUGGGCGCGAGCCUGAUCCAGCCAAGUAGCGUGAGGGAUGACUGCCCUACGGGUUGUAAACUUCUUUUGUAAAGGAAUAAAGUGAGGCACGUGUGCCUUUUUGUAUGUACUUUCUGAAUACGGCUCGGCUAACUCCGUGCCAGCGGCCGCGGUCAUACGGAGGGUCCGAGCGUUAUCCGGAUUUAUGGGGUUUAAGGGGAGCGUAGGUGGGUUGUUAGGUCAGUUGUGAAAGUUUGCGGCUCAACCGGAAAAUUGCAAUUGAUACUGGCAGGCUUGAGUACAGUUGAGGUAGGCGGAAUUCGUGGUGUAGCGGUGAAAUGCUUAGAUAUCACGAAGAACUCCGAUUGCGAAGGCAGCUUACUAAACUGCAACUGACACUGAGGCUCGAAAGUGUGGGUAUCAAACAGGAUUAGAUACCCUGGUAGUC